UGAGCAGCUGAGCCACUCCACCACCAGCUGCAAGGGGAAGAUCCUGCCUCUCUCCUCUCUUGCAUGUUCCCACUCAUCCCUUGCACCAACUUGGGUACUUGCAGAGCAGUUUCCUGAGCUGAAUCAACAUGCUAAAAUGGCAGCCCCAUGGUUUGCUGGGGUGGUUUUCUGGUGAGUGAAGGAGCUGGCACAAGACUUGGCACAAGAUUAAUUGACUAACGUGGGGUGAUGUGAAAGCAUGGCAGGGCCUCUGCUUGCUGGCAGAGGAGACUGGAGAAGCAAGCCUGACCAAGGAGAGAGCAGGCUGCUGGAGCCGAGCAGGAGGUGCAGAGUCAUCGGAGCUCUUCAGGGUGGUAAAAGGGGUGAAGACCAUGCACUCUCAUCCAGGCAGACCUCCUUCACACUUUCCCACCUCCCUCAGACCUCCUUCACACUUCCCCACCUCCUUCUCCCACUGAGAAGAGAGCGAGCGAGCCCCAAGCUUUGGCUGCAUCCAGGAGAAUGGGAAGUCUGGUAGACAUCCACUAAGAUGGGAGACCUCAAGGACGUAGGGAUGCCAUGGACUCCUUCCAAAGGAAAGGAAAGCCAAUGCAUGUUCCCCCAGGGAAUCUCGUGCUUUGCAUCCAGAUGUGGUCUCUGGAGCAGUUCUCCAAGAAGUAUCAUGGAUGCUUGGAGGGAACUGGGUCAUAGGUUUCUUACUGAGGAUUGAAGGAAGCCUCAUUCAUUGGUUUUCUUCUUUUUUUUCUUUUGUCCAUUCCUUUUCUUUUAAUGUUCAUCUUCCUUCUUUGGGUAUAAUUUGUUCAUUUCAGCAAUACAGAAAUUGGACUCAUGAUUUCAAAAACCAUUUUAAUUUUUUUUUUCCAAAAGUUGCUUUUAGUUCAGAGGUAGAAUGAAAAUUAAACCUUCUGAAAUUCCCCACAAGAAAAGAUUAUUUUCCUCUGCUCAGUCCUGUGACAAUUCUUGGUUUGGGAACAGUUUGAGGGAAGACUUGAUAGGAUCCAAAACCCUUUCUGCUUCAGACACAUGCAGUGGCUCCUGAAGGCUGACCUGGCUCUGACUCCAUGUGAAAUUCAGGAACACCAUGCUUCUGUAAUUUCUGGCCCUGGGAGGCCCAGAACCCUGCCAAGCUAACAGAUGAGGACAGUGGGCAAGAGUUGAACCCUGCAUGGCAAGUGCAGCUCCAUCAGGAGCAUGGCCUGACGCUGGUGAAGUCCUCCUGAAACUCAGCUGCCUCCAUGGAACACUUUUAUAUAGGUGACUCAGCAACGUCAGGGGCAAUAGAUGUUUUGUCAUGAUCAGAUAUUAAAUAAUUUCUCAUUUGCACAAGACUGGAGGCAGUUAAAACCCUGCACACAGUAAAGGACUUGCUUUCUGUACUACUUGGUAGCAAUUCUAUGCACUGAGCAUAGAUCCCCAGGCUCUAGGAGGGUGGCAGGUCCCCAGGGGGAUUGCUGCAGGUGGGUUAUGCAAAAAAGGCCUCAUGCAUUAUUUCAGACCAUGGUUGUCCUCAGAGAGUUGAUGACAAGGAAGUAAGAUCUGUUGCCAUUGUAGUUUGAAGCCAGUAUUUACUCAAACCUGGUGCAAAGCCUGUUAGUUAGGCUGAGGAUGUAUGACCUCGGUGGCUUUCACUAAGGUAAAGGUUUUCUUUUUCUUAGGUAAUUCCUGUAUCUCUUUUAAAAGAUCAUUGACAGAAAUGAAUACCCACCUGUUAAAAGAAACAUAAUGUUUAACCAGCAGAAAAAUAAAGGUGGAACCCUCCAUUCCUUUUUGUAAAGCAUCUCUGAAAAGAAAAAAAAAAAAGUUUAGGAAGUGGGUGGAAUGCAUAAGAGAUGUAGUGAGCGUAUGUUUAUUCCUGUGUUCUUGCACUAUUUAUUUUUUUUUUUUAGAUCUUCUAAGUUUAUGGAUGGUGAGAGUUUGGAAGGGAAGAAGUAUGGCCAGUGACCUGGGGACUAAUCCAAAAUU